rnacentral:lncRNA from 1 species
UUAGAUAAGUAUGUCUCCCAGCACUACGUCUAGACCUUUUUCUACGCUCGAAUGGACAAUCAGGAGGCUGAGCUUGAGAACUUUUGUGUGGUGCAGGUGCACUUUUUGUAGUAGCAGGAGAGCCAACCUCAGGUGGAGUUGCACCCUCCCCAGGUUUAGGUGCAGGUGCAGGUAUGGGAGAAGUUGCAGGAGUUAGGCGAGUAUUGUGAUGGUGAUGAUGAUGGUGGUGGUGAUGGUGGUGAUGGUGAUGGUAGUGAUGGUGCGGGGAAUGGGGAACAGGAGCAGGAGAAGGUGAUCUCGCAGUAUCACUGCCAUUAAGGGAGUGCUGCAAGAUGGAUGAAAGUCUGACAUGCUUAACCUUGCCAAAUUCAGUGUUAUUCA